CCUCCACCACCUCCACCACCACCACCACUGCCCCUAUUCCUAAGCUGACACGUCACGAGAUAAUAACCAUAGCGGCGUCAGCAGCAGCAGGAGUGGUGGUGGUCCUGGUGGUGGUGGUGGUGGUGGUGGUGUUACGUUGGAAAAGGAAAGUUGUCAUAUCACCCGCACUCUCCCUGCCCCCCUAUGAGCACGUCAUAGAAAACGACAUCUACGAGUCAUUUGACGGUGACGCUAACGACGCAGCGCCGCAAACCUUCCAGAACGAUCUGUACGAGUCCUUCAGCGGCCACGAGCGCCGGCGCGACACCUAGGAGAGAGAGAGAGAGAGAGAGAGAGAGAGAGAGAGAGAGAGAGAGAGAGAGAGAGAGAGAGAGAGAGAGAGAGAGAGAGAGAGAGAGAGUUUCCUUUGAGUCUAUUGGUCAGUUUCACAUUGAGCAAAGAACACACAACCAAACUUGACACAGAUAUGCCGAGGAUUGUCAAUUGUGGCCUAUAAUAUGAUUACACACACACACACACACACACACACACACAGAUGUACAAGAUCAAGACGAACAAACAACUCAGUGUACCCUAAAAUAUCAGAAAAAGAAAACUGUCCUUUCUCAAGCGCAAACAA